rnacentral:rRNA from 1 species
GGUUAAGCGACUAAGCGUACACGGUGGAUGCCAUGGCAGUCAGAGGCGAUGAAGGGCGUGCUAAUCUGCGAUAAGCGCCGGUAAGGUGAUAUGAACCGUUAUAACCGGCGAUACCCGAAUGGGGAAACCCAGUGUGACUCGUCACACUAUCAUUAACUGAAUCCAUAGGUUAAUGAGGCGAACCGGGGGAACUGAAACAUCUAAGUACCCCGAGGAAAAGAAAUCAACCGAGAUUCCCCCAGUAGCGGCGAGCGAACGGGGAGGAGCCCAGAGCCUGAAUCAGCAUGUGUGUUAGUGGAAGCGUCUGGAAAGGCGCGCGAUACAGGGUGACAGCCCCGUACACAAAAGCGCAUGUGCUGUGAGCUCGAUGAGUAGGGCGGGACACGUGGUAUCCUGUCUGAAUAUGGGGGGACCAUCCUCCAAGGCUAAAUACUCCUGACUGACCGAUAGUGAACCAGUACCGUGAGGGAAAGGCGAAAAGAACCCCGGCGAGGGGAGUGAAAAAGAACCUGAAACCGUGUACGUACAAGCAGUGGGAGCCCCACCACUAAGCCAGUGGUGAACUCCACAUACGCAUCCUUUGCUGAGGAUACGGUUAACGGAGCGAAAGCGACGUUCAACCUCAAAAGAAGCAGAGGGGGCUUAGUGGUGGGGUGACUGCGUACCUUUUGUAUAAUGGGUCAGCGACUUAUAUUCUGUAGCAAGGUUAACCGAAUAGGGGAGCCG